GACGAACGCUGGCGGCGUGCCUAAUACAUGCAAGUAGAACGCUGAAGAGAGGAGCUUGCUCUUCUUGGAUGAGCUGCGAACGGGUGAGUAACGCGUAGGUAACCUGCCUUGUAGCGGGGAUUACCUAUGGGAACGAUAAUCUAUAACGCAUUACCAAGGAUGACACCUGUCAUUUUCUUGAAAGGGGCCAUUGGCUCAACUCAAGGUGGACCUGCGUUGUAUUAGCUUAUAGGUGAGGUAAUGGCUCACCUAGGCGACGAUACAUAGCCGACCUGAGAGGGUGAUCGGCCACACUGGGACUGAGACACGGCCCAGACUCCUACGGGAGGCAGCAGUAGGGAAUCUUCGGCAAUGGGGGCAACCCUGACCGAGCAACGCCGCGUGAGUGAAGAAGGUUUUCGGAUCGUAAAGCUCUGUUGUAAGUCAAGAACGGGUGUGAGAGUGGAAAGUUCACACUGUGACGGUAGCUUAACAGAAAGGGACGGCUAACUACGUG
rnacentral:rRNA from 1 species